rnacentral:rRNA from 1 species
UACGUAGGGGGCAAGCGUUGUUCGGCAUUACUGGGCGUAAAGGGCGCGUAGGCGGCCUGCUAAGUCGAACGUGAAAUCCCCGAGCUCAACCCGGGAACUGCGUCCGAUACUGGCAGGCUUGAAUCCGGGAGAGGGAUGUGGAAUUCCAGGUGUAGCGGUGAAAUGCGUAGAUAUCUGGAGGAACACCGGUGGCGAAGGCGGCAUCCUGGACCAACACUGACGCUGAGUGAGCGAAAGCCAGGGGAGCAAACGGG